rnacentral:rRNA from 1 species
UGACCUAAGGGACGCAGCAGUGGGGAAUAUUGCACAAUGGGGGAAACCCUGAUGCAGCGACGCCGCGUGAGUGAAGAAGUAUUUCGGUAUGUAAAGCUCUAUCAGCAGGGAAGAUAAUGACGGUACCUGACUAAGAAGCCCCGGCUAACUACGUGCCAGCAGCCGCGGUAAUACGUAGGGGGCAAGCGUUAUCCGGAUUUACUGGGGGUAAAGGGAGCGUAGACGGCGCGGCAAGUCUGAAGUGAAAGGCAGGGGCUUAACCCCUGAACUGCUUUGGAAACUGGCAUGCUAGAGUGCUGGAGAGG